rnacentral:rRNA from 1 species
CGUGUAGGCGGACUCGCAAGUCGGUUGUGAAAUCCCUGGGCUCAACCUAGGAACUGCACCCGAAACUGCUUGUCUUGAGUAAUGGAGAGGGUGGCGGAAUUCCCGGUGUAGAGGUGAAAUUCGUAGAUAUCGGGAGGAACAUCAGUGGCGAAGGCGGCCACCUGGACAUUUACUGACGCUGAGACGCGAAAGCGUGGGGAGCAAACA